CUGCGGUCCAACCCACUGCACCACCGCACCCCCAAGCUAUAAACAGUUCAAGAGAAUUUAAAAAGAUUGUAAUGAAAUGACACUAUUUUUAUUGCUGCCAAAACAUAUCUACUCUCCUAAAUUCAACACUCAAUAGAAAUUCAGCAUAUUAUAACAACCCACGUUACUGUGUUUUAGCGGGGAAUACACUUAUUAUAAAUAGUUGCAUUAUGGGGAAAAAUGUGGAAUGUAAGGGUGCAACCAAUGGGGACACUUCUGGGGGAAAUGAUGGGGUGACUGUGUUUGUCAGGGUGUUAGAGCCUUGGGGGUGCUAAGCAGGCUGGGAAGGGUGGCUUGAGGCACAGGUCCUUGAGGAAGCGGGGUACAAGGCAUUAUUUCCCUGUGUGCCGGUGUUCUAACUAAACGUUUGCAGUGAACGCAGCCUGUGCGUCCGUUUUCACCCCAUCCAAACCCACGGCACUGCGCACCACAAUAUAUUCUGUUAUUCAGCCGGCAUCUUUGUCCAAGGCAACAACAGCAUUUCAGAACUAUUGACCAAUUUAUACAGCACAGCAUCCUUUCAGUAUCAAUACAUGCAGAUGCUUUGCUCCAAAACGACUGCCAAUAAACCAGCCUGGGCCUGCAGAGCGUGGUAAACGAAGAAAGGUACCGUAACCUGGCUCUCACGUUUGACUCGCAUGGACCAUUAACGCUUUCCCUGGUGUGACCCCACGGUCCCACACACACCACGGGACUUGUAUGUCAGCUGCCAGCUCAGUGGAAUACAGUGACUGGCUGCUCCACAUCGCUCGCCGUGUCACCACCCAACCCCUGCUAUCAGACAAACAGAGGGCCUUGUUUGUCGGUCACAGCGGAGCGCUUUGUAGCCCUUAGGGUUGCUCCAGACUUUCUUACUGGUGCAGAGCAGCAGACUUCAACAGGCUCGAAUGUGCAAAACAAAGAACAGAGGAACAAAUGGAGGAGGAUGCCAAGGUACAAGGAAGCUGUGUUUGCAAUUCUUGCGCUGGAGCACACUGAUGACAGCCCUGCCCUCUGCCGGGAAGCUACGAAGCCCUCUUUACAAUUGUUCUCGCAGCUUUUAUGGACUCGCCCUUCCAAAGUCUUACUGCUUCCCAUGCAGCAUGAUCACUAGGAACACGUAAGCAACCCGUUAAAUGUUUCCAUCCUGUUGUGAGAAAGAUUAAGAUACGGGAACACAUGUACACACACACACACACACACACACGCACUGAUAUCCAGAUUUGGUAGCCAGUUGCACACAGGGCACUAAUAACACUUGGCUGUAAUGGGAUGAAAUCCGACAAACAUCUGCAUGCCAGUCUGCGGUUAAUCGUCAAAACAAAAUCAUGC
rnacentral:lncRNA from 1 species